rnacentral:rRNA from 1 species
CAAGUCGAGCGGAGUGAUGGUGCUUGCACUAUCACUUAGCGGCGGACGGGUGAGUAAUGCUUAGGAAUCUGCCUAUUAGUGGGGGACAACAUUUCGAAAGGAAUGCUAAUACCGCAUACGUCCUACGGGAGAAAGCAGGGGAUCUUCGGACCUUGCGCUAAUAGAUGAGCCUAAGUCGGAUUAGCUAGUUGGUGGGGUAAAGGCCUACCAAGGCGACGAUCUGUAGCGGGUCUGAGAGGAUGAUCCGCCACACUGGGACUGAGACACGGCCCAGACUCCUACGGGAGGCAGCAGUGGGGAAUAUUGGACAAUGGGCGCAAGCCUGAUCCAGCCAUGCCGCGUGUGUGAAGAAGGCCUUAUGGUUGUAAAGCACUUUAAGCGAGGAGGAGGCUACUGAAGUUAAUACCUUCAGAUAGUGGACGUUACUCGCAGAAUAAGCACCGGCUAACUCUGUGCCAGCAGCCGCGGUAAUACAGAGGGUGCAAGCGUUAAUCGGAUUUACUGGGCGUAAAGCGCGCGUAGGCGGCUAAUUAAGUCAAAUGUGAAAUCCCCGAGCUUAACUUGGGAAUUGCAUUCGAUACUGGUUAGCUAGAGUGUGGGAGAGGAUGGUAGAAUUCCAGGUGUAGCGGUGAAAUGCGUAGAGAUCUGGAGGAAUACCGAUGGCGAAGGCAGCCAUCUGGCCUAACACUGACGCUGAGGUGCGAAAGCAUGGGGAGCAAACAGGAUUAGAUACCCUGGUAGUCCAUGCCGUAAACGAUGUCUACUAGCCGUUGGGGCCUUUGAGGCUUUAGUGGCGCAGCUAACGCGAUAAGUAGACCGCCUGGGGAGUACGGUCGCAAGACUAAAACUCAAAUGAAUUGACGGGGGCCCGCACAAGCGGUGGAGCAUGUGGUUUAAUUCGAUGCAACGCGAAGAACCUUACCUGGCCUUGACAUAGUAAGAACUUUCCAGAGAUGGAUUGGUGCCUUCGGGAACUUACAUACAGGUGCUGCAUGGCUGUCGUCAGCUCGUGUCGUGAGAUGUUGGGUUAAGUCCCGCAACGAGCGCAACCCUUUUCCUUAUUUGCCAGCGAGUAAUGUCGGGAACUUUAAGGAUACUGCCAGUGACAAACUGGAGGAAGGCGGGACGACGUCAAGUCAUCAUGGCCCUUACGGCCAGGGGCUA